AAGGUCCACUUAAUGCAUGAUCUUUAAGAUAAACGGCUGUGGUACCAAGUAUGUGUGAUGGUAAUGGCUGCCAAGGUCUAUGCUGUUAUUCACUCGUGUACCUUAUUGUCAACAUUGGCUGUGUCACAAUGUCAAUUGUGUCAAUCACUGAAAGAGAAUCAGCAUCCUGGUGAUCUCUUCCAUGAGGAAAAUGACUACACAGUACAUAAUAGGGUGAAGAAAAUGACAACAAAUUCUAUUAAAGGGGUCAUCAAGUUAAGUUUACAUAGAAUCUUGAGAAUCAUCAUGUUGAGUGCAGUAGUUUUAAUUAUUUUUUGAUUAUUUCUAAUUUAAAUUUUGAAAUAGGCAAAAUAAAACCAUCUUGUUAAUUGUUAUCUAUAAGGAAAAGGCAAACACCACCAACAUGGUCAACAAGUUUGUUAACCCAUUGAAUGUUACCGGGCAGCAGUAACCCUUGAAUCCCUCUCCUUAGUUCCUUGAAAUGGGCCCACUCUUAUUUUGAGUUAACCUGUGCCGCUAUUCCAUGGACUGAAUCCAUUGGUGGAAACUGACGACAAAUCAGUGGCAACUGACUAACGGGCUGUCAUUCAGCAAUACUUUUCACAUGCGUGCCAUCCUUCCGUCGCCCAAAGGCACGGGGGAGUUGUGCCUGCUCCAGCUUUACGAGGCCAGGAUAAUUUGACUACCCAGCAACCGACAGUCUGGUAGGCCAACUCACCCAUCACUGACUCCUACUACCCCUGCUCUCAAAUGACCAAAGGACGACGAUGUUGUUCUAAACUACAGAUUUCUAAAUUUGCAUGACAGACAUUCUGAGAAGUCAUGUCCUUUGAAGAGAAAGGACAAAAAGUCAAAAACUAUACAGUCAACAAGGUCUCUUGUUUGGUAACCCGUGGGCUGCCACCAUAUCUCCCUUUUUACUUCCUUCUCGAUUUGAGGGUAACUCCUUUGCUACUUAUCGUGGACUUCAUCCAUUGGUGAAAACUGACAGAAGAAUGUUGUAAUUCAAGACUGAUCAUUUGUAUGCGUUUUGUCGAUAUGUCGUCUCUUGCUACCUGUACCG